UUUUUUUUAGGGUUUGGGAUCUGCUCAGAUUGAACGCUGGCGGCAGGCCUAACACAUGCAAGUCGAGCGGAUGAAGAGAGCUUGCUCUCUGAUUCAGCGGCGGACGGGUGAGUAAUGCCUAGGAAUCUGCCUGGUAGUGGGGGACAACGUCUCGAAAGGGACGCUAAUACCGCAUACGUCCUACGGGAGAAAGCAGGGGACCUUCGGGCCUUGCGCUAUCAGAUGAGCCUAGGUCGGAUUAGCUAGUUGGUGAGGUAAUGGCUCACCAAGGCGACGAUCCGUAACUGGUCUGAGAGGAUGAUCAGUCACACUGGAACUGAGACACGGUCCAGACUCCUACGGGAGGCAGCAGUGGGGAAUAUUGGACAAUGGGCGAAAGCCUGAUCCAGCCAUGCCGCGUGUGUGAAGAAGGUCUUCGGAUUGUAAAGCACUUUAAGUUGGGAGGAAGGGCUGUAGAUUAAUACUCUGCAAUUUUGACGUUACCGACAGAAUAAGCACCGGCUAACUCUGUGCCAGCAGCCGCGGUAAUACAGAGGGUGCAAGCGUUAAUCGGAAUUACUGGGCGUAAAGCGCGCGUAGGUGGUUUGUUAAGUUGGAUGUGAAAGCCCCGGGCUCAACCUGGGAACUGCAUUCAAAACUGACAAGCUAGAGUAUGGUAGAGGGUGGUGGAAUUUCCUGUGUAGCGGUGAAAUGCGUAGAUAUAGGAAGGAACACCAGUGGCGAAGGCGACCACCUGGACUGAUACUGACACUGAGGUGCGAAAGCGUGGGGAGCAAACAGGAUUAGAUACCCUGGUAGUCCACGCCGUAAACGAUGUCAACUAGCCGUUGGGAGCCUUGAGCUCUUAGUGGCGCAGCUAACGCAUUAAGUGACCGCCUGGGAGUCGCCGACCGG
rnacentral:rRNA from 1 species